rnacentral:lncRNA from 1 species
GCUCUAGCUCUAUCUUUCUCCGGACCCCGAAGCUUAAGAAUUAUCCGCCUCACUCUCUUUUUUAGAAAUAGGAGGGAAAGGUAGAGUGGAAAUUGAUUUCUUGCAGAGACUGAGGCGCUGAAUGAUAGAGGGAAUAAACAUUUGCCCUGGAUAAAAAUGUUCUUGGCUGUUGUCCAGCUCUAAUGAUGUCCUAGAGCAGAAGUGUUUCUUCUGUUGUCUCAUUUUACCAAGAGGAUGAUGUCUGUUCCCAGCUACUCGGGAGGUUGAGGACAAUCGCUUGAACCAGGGAGUCGGAGGUUGCUGUGAGCCAAGAUGGCGCCACUGCACUCGAGCCUGGCAACAGAGUGGGACUCUGUCUCAAAACCAACCAAACAAACUACACACACACACACACACACACGCAUACAUAUAUGUAUUUUUUCUCAGUAUUCUUUUUGUACAUGCAUUGAGUUGCUGUUCCCUAGACUAUUUUCCCUCAUGGAAUAUAAACUGUCGAUAAUUUCAGUCACCUGCAAUGUCAUACUCCAUCAUAUCACCUGUCUGUUCUACUUUUUAAAUUCCCUAAAAAUGUAGAAAUAGGAUUAUUUCAAGAGGAAAGCUGUCCUCUGAAAAUAAGAAGUUUAAUUAGACUCUAACACAUAUCUGAAACUGUACACACAGAAACACACACACACGGUAUGAAAGAAACGCAGAGACUAAGACAACGCUUUUUAGUGGAAUCAUUGUGUAAAACACACAUACAAAAAAAUCCCGCCACACGUGUUCCAUUAGUAUAAAAACAGACAAGCAAAAAACUUUCUAAUUUGAAUAAAAGCUACAAGACUUCAACCAUUUAGAAAGGUUCAGUGUUCUGGAGUGGCUUGAGCCAUACCAGUGUUUUUUCAUAUGCAUCAAUAUUUGUGUGUUACAUACAAGCCACUUUUGUUUUGAAAAUGCCAAUUCUAAAGUCGAAUAGCAACACUAAAAUCGAUUUGGCACUAAUCAUUACUUCAAAAGGGUUAUAAUUCCUGGAUUAAACAAGAUGAAUGUAGAAUCAAAUCAAACAUUUAAAAAUAUCUAUAGUAUAUGCUUUUAAAAUAAAAAUGUUUGCACUAAUCUGAAAAAUUAGCGCUUUAUAGAAGGAUUUCUAGAACCGUAUUUUAGCAGCAUUCGUAUUGCUGUGUGUGUUUUUGUGUGAUUAAUAAUUAGUUUUCAGGCCAGGCAUGGCAGCUCAUGCCUGUAAUCCCAGGCCAACGCAGGCAAAUUGCCUGAGGUCGGGAGUUCGAGACCAGCCUGGCCAACAUGGUGAAACCCUGUCUCUACUAAAAAUACAAAAAUUAGCUGGGAGUAGUGGCAGGCACCUGCAAUCCCAAUUACUUGGGAGGCUGAGGCAGAAUAAUUGCUUGAACCCAGGAGGCGGAGGUUGCAGUGAGCCGUGAUCAAACCACUGCACUCCAGCCUGGGCAAUAGAACAAGACUCUUUCUCAAGAAAAAAAAAAAA